UUUUCAGCUGUGUAUGUUUAUUACUUGGCAACUACACUCCUAAUAAGACCUCAGUUUGAACUCUGUCAUUAAGCAGCUUUCAAACAUUUACCCUGACUGGGCUAAGUGAUUAUUUGGCCAGUGGACUAUAGCAAUUGGAAGAUUGAUUCUAUAAAGGAAGGCACAGACCUGAACUUACUAGAUCUGAACAGGGUGGUUUAUAACGGAUGCCAGUGGAGGUUGCUAAUUCAUAGGUUCACCAUAAGUCGUAAUUGACUUGAAGGCAUAUAACAACAAACAACAAUUAUUCUACUGCUGCCAUAUGUUGUAAUAUGAUAUAAUCCACCAGAAUGUAUAGCAGGAUACCUUUGGCUAAAAAAUGCAACUGAGGCAAUGAGGGAUUGAUAGCUGCUAUCUGUUCUAUGUACCUAUGUCCUCCAGUAUUUGAGAAAACGCAAAAUGAGUUUGCAAUCUCGGAGAGCUCAUUACUGAUAUACUUCAGAGUCUUGCUUCACUUGUCAUUUAUUUAUUUUGUAUUUACAUACCAAUCUGUUUCCAUUUAUCAGUGUGGGGUUUUUUUUGUACUUGUGAGUUGUCAGAGUGUUUUGCAUUUAUACACUGUUGCUUUUACACUCAUUCUCCAGCAUUUUUGCCUUGUGUUUUUUGGAUUAACUUGGAUUCCUGCAUUGAUCAGGGGGUUGGACUUGAUGGCCUUAUAGGCCCAAUUCUACUAUUCUACGGUUCUCACUCCCCUCAGGGCAAGAUGGUUCUGGAGAUGCUCCUGUGGUGACAGUUGGGGACGAGGGAGAGACCAAUGUAUGAGUCACUAUAUCUACUAAAAUGCAUUGCAAGGAGUGUCAUGGAAUGUUUCUGGUCCUGGCUGAGAUGAGAGAUAGGACAAUAAGAUUCUACUUUCUCUGGGUCCUCUACUGAUUUUGGAAGGACCACUAUCCUAGUUCCCAACCAUGGCUCAGGCAUAUUAUGCCCAUCUAGGAGCCUGCUGAAGACAGCCACCAGAUGGGGAGUCAAGGACCCCUUGAGGUGCUUGUAGAAAUCACUCAAAAAUCCAUCCAGACCAGGAGAUCUUUCGUUAUAACCAUGUACUUCUGCUGUGAGUCUAUCAUUAAGAAUCCCUUUGAAUUCUGGAGAAAAUGCAUUCAGGAGUGCUUCAAUCUGCCUAGGAAUUGGAUUCUGAGAAGCAGAAAGAGACACAUAGUAUGUCGCAAAGGUGGAGGCAAUAUCACCAGGAUCAGAGAUCUUAUUUAUUUAUUUAAAAUAUUUCUAUCCCGCACGUCUACCCCACAAUGGCACACUCAGGGCAGCUUACAAUAAAAUCACACACAGGCGUAAUAAAAUUAUACAGAAUAAAAACACAAGACAAAACAGUAAGUUAAAAUACAUAAAAUACAAUUAUUUAAAAUACAUAAAAUACAAUAAGCAUAUAUAUACAAACAAAAUGAGAAACAUACAUGUGUAUAUAAAUAUAUAUAUGAACGUAAUUGUGAUUAACCAAACAGAGGUUUUUAUUGUAUUAACAAAACGUUUCAGCUUCCGCUUUCAUCAGCUGCCAACAUACAAAUGCUGUUACCAAGGUGGCAGUUAUAGAGCUUUGAGGAUGGAAUGCUCAGAGGGGCUUCAUUUGCAGAAGCUAAGUAGUGGUGGUACUGUCCUCCAGGUUCAGGCCAUAUGAGUACAAAUAUGGGGAGAUUAUAGUAAAAACCACAAGGUGAAAAUUAAAAAAGAGAAAAUAAAAAAUGUAGAGACAGUGUCAG